GUAGCUAAUUAGCUAAGGUUUUCCGAGGGAUCAGCUACAGAUUUCACAAAUACCUCAACCAAAUUAAUUUCAGAAUUUUAGUGAGGGGUUACCGAGGGCUUAGCGACAGAUUGUUCUUUUUUUUUCUACAAAAGGAAUCCCUUGCUAAUUUGUAGCAAAUUUAAAGAUCUUUAGCUAGGGAACAGCGACAGAUUUCUUAGAAACAGAGGAUUUUUUUCUUGGACAUCGCCAAUCAGUCGCUGAAAGGCCCACUCCCUUUUUUCAUUCUGUGCUAUUUUUUUCUUUGUUCCCUCGUUUUAUUUUCAUCCUCUCUAAAUUUCCCCCCAAAAGCCCUAAACGCGAUUUCCUCCCAAAACCCUAAACCAUAGUACGUCGACUCAAUUCCCUCCUCCCCCUAGAAAUAACCUCCACCACCAUCCACCUGCAUCGCCUCUCUUACCUGUAUCUCCCCUCUUUGAAGUUUACUUGAAGCAACGCCAAGGAACAUUCUCGUUGGAUUUCCUCUUGGUUCGUCUCCUUUCCUCGUCCACUCGAUGUUUCCUGCCAACAUAGUUCGAUCUAUUGGUUGCUUGAAAACUGUGGUGGUUAUCCCUUCCAAGAUCUUGUUCUUACAAAUUUGAUUAACUUAGAAGUUGUUGAAAAGAAAAGUUGCAUGUGGCUCUUUAGCAACGAACUCUGCAUCAUUUUUUAGCAAAGCAUACUCUGCAUACUUCAAAACAAUAGAUAAAUAAAUACAAAGACUUUGUUGCAUGGUUGCAAAUUCAAGAUAGAAAGAUGUAACUGGUAGAUGCUGCUCUUAUUGCAACUGGAAGAGCUCCAUUCACAGAAGGGCUUGGUCUUGAGAGUGUGAAUGUUCAAACACAAUGUGGUUUUAUUCCUGUUGAUGAACGCAUGAGAGUGAUUGACUCAAAGGGAGAACUGGUAUUGACUCAAAAUUGACAUCAAAAUUUUAAUUGGAUUUUUUUAAGUUUAUUUCUUUAAACAUAAACUGAUAAAAUAUUGGUCUUUUUGGGUCACUCACUUGUAUUGCAUUGGUGAUGCUAAUGGAAAGAUGAUGCUUGCUCAUGUAGCAAGUGCCCAGGGUAUUUCAUUUCAGCUGCUGAACAAGUUUCUGGAAAAGAUCAACACUUACUGACAUUUAUAACCAACAGAGAGGCAUUGUGAACUAGUUAAGUGUUGGGACUUUAGGCUAUGAGUACAGGGUAUGGAAAUCCUUAGUUACAAUGUAGUGCAGCUGAUGAACGUUCCAAGCUAUUGGCUUAUGAAGUUAUUGGAUUAGAAGAGAAGGCACUCAGAUUGAGGUCAAAUGAGCUAAAAUUUGAGAGGCAACUGGAGAACAUUAUCUUAUCUUAUUCUCUUUUCUCUUAGGUUGAUCAACCUUGUCACAUGACACGGGUUUGUUCUAGGGCUCUUAUCUUUAUUGGCGGUCAAUAUUUGAAGAUAUGGUGCUAGUGGUGGUUAUCCUUCUCAACAAGGAAUCAUUAGGGAUGCUCAGGCUUCUCCAGAUCAUCUCAGCCAGAGGAUAGACAUUGACACUUCUCAACUAGUUGCCUUUGGAAGGUCUCUUGGUGGAGCAGUUGGUGUUGUAGUUACCAAAAAUAACCUUGACAAGUUCUCAUGAAACGUGAGUCAAACCUGUGGGAUAAUUGAUGAAGAAAGGAAGGGAGAGGUAUAUGUUGAGCUAGUAUUCGCUUAAUUUUCAUUUUGCAAAACAGGUCAUUUUUUAAUUUUUUUAGAAGCUUAUUCUUCCUGUGUGUAAUGGUGAUAGCUACAACUUUCAUGCUACUGGGAGAGAAGAUAUAGAUGUACGUAUAUUUUUUAGACUUUUUUUGUCAACUAGAAGGUGAUCUGUUACAUAAGCACUAAAAUCUGUCCCACUUUACUACCCGAGUUGAUCAAUUUGCAUCAACUCUUUUUCAUUGAUGCUUAAAUUAUGUUUAGGUAGAGGGAACCUUUCCUAAUGGAACAAAGUUAAUUACUGUAGAUGAUCCAGUAUCUUGUGAAAAUGGAAAUCUUGAAAUAGCUUUACAUGGAUAUUUUCUUCCACGUCAGCAAUCUGUACUUUCAUCUUUUCAGAUCCAUUUUACUUAUCUUGGGUGCCAAAUUUGACAGAUAUUUGUAGAAAGUUGUAAGAUUCAUGGAGAACUAACCUUUGGACAUAGAUAUAUAAUGCUUAAUUCUAGAAGGGAAGCAGUAGUCCUUAAAGUAACUAACAAUGGAGAUAGACCAAUACAGGUUGGAAGCCAUUACCAUUUUAUCGAGGUCAAUCCAAGUUUAAUUUUUGAUCAAAGAAAAGCAUAUGGCAUGAGACUAAAUAUACCCACAGGAACAACUACUAGAUUUGAGCCAGGGGAUGCAAAAUCUGUCACUCUUGUAAAAAUUGGUGGCAUGCAAGUAAUGGAAUCAAUACAUGCAAUUGCAGACAGCCCUGUCACUGAUUCCAAUGUCAAAACAGUAAUGGAAUCAAUACGUGCAAGAGGAUUCGGCAAUUCCAAAGAUACUAGUACCAAGUUAAGAUAUCAAAAGCUGUUUCUUUUGGUAUUUCUGUAUAAACAAUAAUUGUGUGUGUUAUUUAAUUUGCAGUAAUGGUAUCAUUAUAGAAGGAUCUCCACUAGCAUAUAAAAUUUUGGUUUUGAAUGUUUUUUGAAUGAUACUUUGGUGAACUUUGAUAGUUCUGGUAUUGUAAUGUUUGGUUGUGUCAUUAUUGAUGUUUUUUUGUAUAAUAAUUUGAUGAUUGUAGUA